rnacentral:tRNA from 1 species
UGGCGGUUUAGUGUAACCUGGUAGCAUAACGGCCUCCUUAGCCGUAGAAGCAGGUUCAAAUCCUGCGGCCGCAA